AAGUCGUAACAAGGUUUCCGUAGGUGAACCUGCGGAAGGAUCAUUAACACGUAUCGAAACGUUAAAACCCCUCCCCGUGAACCUUCAUCCUGCUCUUGUAACCCGCGUAGUUCGCAAUCUCUGAUAAAUCAUAGCCCGGGAAGUUGUAACCUCUGGCUAUGUGCGAACAUUGGAACAGUUACAAUCGAACGGUAGUUCUAUAGGCAAUGUUUUCCCAAGCAGUCAGUGUCGGAAAGUGUCAUUGAUUGUGCAAGGAUAGCGCUUCUACGAUUCCUGUAGACCGUACACUUGGGCAGGAGCUUUGCCAAAGGGUCCCCAUGCCCCCUAAUAACCCCACAAUUGCUAACAACUGUUAACAAUGGAUAUCUUGGUUCUC
rnacentral:misc_RNA from 1 species